rnacentral:rRNA from 1 species
UGGGGAAUAUUGGACAAUGGGGGCAACCCUGAUCCAGCCAUGCCGCGUGAGUGAUGACGGCCUUAGGGUUGUAAAGCUCUUUCGCCGGUGAAGAUAAUGACGGUAACCGGUAAAGAAGCCCCGGCUAACUUCGUGCCAGCAGCCGCGGUAAUACGGAGGAUGCAAGCGUUAUCCGGAAUAAUUGGGCGUAAAGCGUUCGUAGGUGGUUUUGUAAGUCUGCUGUUAAAGCGUGUAGCUCAACUACAUAUAGGCAGUGGAAACUACAAAACUUGAGUGCGUUCGGGGCAGAGGGAAUUCCUAGUGUAGCGGUGAAAUGCGUAGAGAUUAGGAAGAACACCGGUGGCGAAAGCGCUCUGCUAGGCCGCAACUGACACUGAGGGACGAAAGCUAGGGGAGCGAAUGGGAUUAGAUACCCCCGUAGUCC